ensembl:lncRNA
GGCGGAUAUUUUAUUUUGAUUGAACCUUUAUCUAGGCAAGUCAGUUGAGAACAAAUUCUUAUUUACAAUGGCGGCCUACCAAAAGGCAGAAAGGCCUGAGGGGCCUGGGAUUAAAAAUAAAAAUAUCUUUUAUGGUUUUAUUUGGUAAAUCAAGUGAGGUUGGUUCCAUAAAACAUAUAUAUAUACAAAUUACACUUCAGAGGUUAAUGUUUGUGACUAUAUAAAGCACAUUACAUUUGCAUAUCAGUCAACACAUUGACAGACCGGUCUUGGGGAUUUAACCAGAAGCUAACUAAAUGCUAUUGUCGGUACAUAGAUUACAAUAGAGUUCUAACCAUUAGACUACGUGUAUGUGCCUGGUUACCCAGGAACCGAACAGAAGGGACCAGGGGAAAAACAAACACAGAUCAUUAUGUUCCUGAAGUGCUUUUAUCUUUACACUGAGCAGCAGUUUUUCCAGGUCACUGGGUAGUUGUGUUGGGAACAUCACAGAGAGAGAACCCAGGCAACAGAUUUCUGCUGCCUGUCUCUCUCUAGCUCUGAACCAGGCAACAGGUUUCUGCUGCCUGUCUCUCUCUCUAGCUCUGAACCAGGCUACAGAUUUCUGCCUGGCAACCAGCCAGUAUCAGGAGAAAAGGGGAACAUCUUGUCCCUUCAGUGGUGCUGCACAGAGAAGAACAGGCUGCGGACAAGUUAUGAAACGAAGAAAGGUUGUGAGGGGGGAAAUUAAUAAAAGAAAGAGGAGAGUAGGGGCAGAGGGGGGUAUAACUGGACUGUGUGUUUGAUUGAAUUCACAUCGUAUACCAAUGUAUGGAAUAAUAUACAAAGGGGGGUCUUUUCAAUCCAUAUCGAGGAAGUUCAGCGUUACGGCGUGAUUUACAUUUUAAAAGGCGAUGUUCACGGUAAAACGCUGAAAUAUGUCGGCUCAAUCAGAAAUGGCCUUUAAGUUUCGAUAGUGUGCGAUCUGUAACGCUUCGGCGAAUAGAGGUUGAAUAAAGGCUGACGUCUGUUUUAGAGAGCGCUUGCAGAAAUCGCUUAUUUUUUCUUUCUUCUCACCCUUCUGCCUUCAACGAAAUAGGAGUCAGGGUAGGAUAGGAAGUGACGCAAAAUGUAAAACAGGUCCAACAGCGACUGGCUUGAUCAAGUCCAUAUUUCUGUGCUGAGAGGACAGACAGAGUGGAAGGUGUCUUCUCUCUCUUGUCUUUCUUUUGGAGUCUUUUCCCUUUGUGUGUUUCAACCUGUUGAUUGGUGGUGGUGUGUCUCUACUGGACCGCUCUGUUGGCUGGGGGUGCCGGGUGAGGGUGGGCUGGAGGGGUGGUGGUGUGUCUCUACUGGACCGCUCUGUUGGCUGGGGGUGCCGGGUGAGGGUGGGCUGGAGGGGUGGUGGGCUGGGGCGCUGGACCGGGGUGCUGGACUGGGGGCGCCGGGUGAGGGUGGGCUGGAGGGGUGGUGGGCUGGGGCGCUGGACCGGGGUGCUGGACUGGGGGCGCUGGGUGAGGGUGGGCUGGAGGGGUGGUGGGCUGGGGGCGCUGGACGGGAAGGUGCGUGGUUUGGGGCUCCCCAGAACCACACUGACCCACCAUCCUUUAGAUAUCCCCC